rnacentral:rRNA from 1 species
CAGUAGCCGCGGUAAUACGAAGGGUGCAAGCGUUACUCGGAAUUACUGGGCGUAAAGCGUGCGUAGGUGGUGGUUUAAGUCCGUUGUGAAAGCCCUGGGCUCAACCUGGGAAUUGCAGUGGAUACUGGGUCACUAGAGUGUGGUAGAGGAUGGUGGAAUUCCCGGUGUAGCAGUGAAAUGCGUAGAUAUGCGGAGGAACACCGAUGGCGAAGGCAAUCCCCUGGACCUGUACUGACGCUCAUGCACGAAAGCGUGGGGAGCAAACAGAAUUAGAUACCCCUGUAGUCCCUGUCUCUUAUAA